rnacentral:rRNA from 1 species
AACGAACGUUAGCGGCGCGCUUAACACAUGCAAGUCGAGCGAGAAGGGGGCAACCCCGGUAAAGCGGCGUACGGGUGAGUAACACGUAGGUAAUCUACCUCGAGGUGGUGGAUAACCUUCCGAAAGGAGGGCUAAUACAGCAUGAGACCACGCCUUCGAAAGAGGGUGAGGUAAAAGCGGGCCUCUCUACAGAAGCUCGCGCCACGAGAUGAGCCUGCGGCCCAUCAUGGUAGUUGGUAGGGUAACGGCCUACCAAGCCGAAGACGGGUAGCUGGUCUGAGAGGAUGAUCAGCCACACUGGAACUGAGACACGGUCCAGACUCCUACGGGAGGCAGCAGUGGGGAAUCUUGCGCAAUGGGCGAAAGCCUGACGCAGCGACGCCGCGUGAGUGAUGAAGGCC